ensembl:lncRNA
CACACUGUAACACACACACACACACACACUGUAACACACACACACAGACACACACACUGUAACACACACACACACUGUAACACACACACACUGUAACACACACACACAGACACACACACUGUAACACACACACACACACACACUGUAACACACACACACUGUAACACACACACACAGACACACACACUGUAACACACACAGACACACACACUAAAACACACACACACACAGAGGUAACACACACUGUAACACACAGACACACUGUAACACACACAUUGUAACACACACACUAACACACAGACACACUGUAACACACACACACACACACACACACACACACACACACACACACUGUAACACACACACAGUAACACACACACACACAGAGGUAACACACACACUGUAACACACACACACACACACUGUAACACACACAUUGUAACACACACACACAGUAACACACACACACAGUAACUCACACACACUGUAACACACACACACACACACAGUAACACACACACACAGUAACACACACACACUGUAACUCACACACACAGUAACACACACACACACAGUAACACACACACACACACUGUAACACACACACACAGUAACACACACACACAGUAACACACACACACACACUGUAACACACACACACACACACUGUAACACACACACACUGUAACACACACACACACACACACACACACACUGUAACACACACACAGUAACACACACACACUGUAACACACACACACACACUGUAACACACACACACACACACCUGCUGCACCGUGUCUCACCUGUCCAGGUGUUCAUUUAUUAAUGUUCUUUUUUCUAACAGCAGCAGAAAAUCAAUAAAAUCAGUAAAAGGUUUAAAACUCAACAAGUGGAUUCUUUGUUUGUCUUUACUGGGUUUGAAUAGAAUAAAAUAACACUUUAGAAAAAUAAUACACUUUAUAUUGUUUGUAAUGAAAUAAAAUAAUGAAAUAAAUAAAAUAAAAUGCAGAAGUUCCUUCAA